AUCAGAAUUAUAUGGUUUAUUAAAAUUUUAAUAUGGAUAUAAUAAUAGCAAAAUAAUAACUGAAAUUAUUGAGGUCUGAAUUAAUUGUUGAGACCUAAGGUCUGGCCUAAUCGACUCAAAUAAUUUAAAUUGAACAUCAUUAGGCAGUAAAUGUGAAAUCACUAUUGUUGUUUUAUUAUUGAUAGAAUCACUCUUUCUUCCCAAACUUUGGAGUUUUAAUAAUU
rnacentral:lncRNA from 1 species